rnacentral:rRNA from 1 species
GGCGACGGGUGAGUACACGUGGGCAAUCUGCCCUUCACUCUGGGACAAGCCCUGGAAACGGGGUCUAAUACCGGAUACGACACACGACCGCAUGGUCUGUGUGUGGAAAGCUCCGGCGGUGAAGGAUGAGCCCGCGGCCUAUCAGCUUGUUGGUGGGGUGAUGGCCUACCAAGGCGACGACGGGUAGCCGGCCUGAGAGGGCGACCGGCCACACUGGGACUGAGACACGGCCCAGACUCCUACGGGAGGCAGCAGUGGGGAAUAUUGCACAAUGGGCGAAAGCCUGAUGCAGCGACGCCGCGUGAGGGAUGACGGCCUUCGGGUUGUAAACCUCUUUCAGCAGGGAAGAAGCGAGAGUGACGGUACCUGCAGAAGAAGCGCCGGCUAACUACGUGCCAGCACCGGGGGGUAAU